rnacentral:lncRNA from 1 species
AGGAAGAGCCGUGAGGCCACAAUUAAAAAUAUUUUGGUUUGCCCAAACCCUACCCAAAGGUUGAGACAGUGGGUAGGUAGGUAGGCAUUUUCUUUUUUUUUUCAAAAAGAGAAAUUGAAGUAUCGGGUGUUUAAUAGUCUUCAUGCCUAUCUGAUUAAAAAAAAACUUCUUCAAAUCAGGACAAUAAAAGAAUUUGAGUAGGCAGCUUUUUUCUGGGUAGGUAGCGCUUGGGCAAACAAA